GACAGAGGCCCCAAGCGUUAGGCGGAAUCACUGGGCUUAAAGCGUGUGUAGGCGGACGCCUAAGUGUCUUGUGAAAUCCCACGGCUCACCCGUGGAACUGCUGGGCAUACUGGGCGUCUUGGGCCAACUAGGGGCAGCCGGAACAAGCGGUGGAGCGGUGAAAUGCGUAGAUAUCGGGAGGAACACCUGUGGCGAAAGCGGCUCUCUGGACCACAACUGACGCUGAGGCGCGAAAGCUAGGGAGCAAACAGG
rnacentral:rRNA from 1 species